CUGCACCACAUUUCAUAUCGGAACAUCUAGAUCUAUCCAAACAAGAGGUGGCUGCCAUCUGAGAUGUCUACACAGUCUGGGAGUUGGGGGACUUGUGGGCACACCCCCGCCUGUGUUGCCCAAAAAUCCCUGGGCUGGGGAGGGAGAGGAAGCCGUAGCUGCACAGGCCAGACGAUGGUACCAGAAACAGAUGGAUUCAAAACGUAAUAAACCCAAACGCAGGGCUGGUAACAUCCCUGGUCCUGGAUCCCCAUUCUCCGAGGCUUCGAGUAAAAUUUCCCCAAUACCCCUGCCUUAGGGUUGGCUUUUCACUAACAGUGAUAGAUGUGCAGGUGGUUGUAGUGAGCUUGAAAACUAGGAGACAGCAACAGGGCUGUCCGCGUCCGUGCAGCUGGCCAGGCACCCUAAGGAAGUACAGUAUUAACGAGGGCUGUGGGCGUGCUGCAUUAUGGGAGUCCGAUGCAACCGAAUAGAAUGGAAGGGCUUUGACUAGCUUGAGGCUUAUGUGAGCGGGGCUCUAGGCUUCAAGCCACCAGGAUAAUGAGAGCCUCAGCAGACACCCACUUGCAGCCACAGAAUUCCCCAGGGGUUUGGGACACUGGCAUGGCUCAAGACCGUGUCUGCCCCCUCCUUGGUGGUUCGUGGUAGAGAAGCAGCAAGUGUGCGGCUCGAACUUUCUGCUAAGGUCAUUCUGGCCAGUUUUAGCAUCUAUCCUCUAGGGGGCGCAAACUGUGAGUCCUCCUCCUGUGGUUUUGUGCCACCUGGGCAUGCUGUGGACUCAGCUUCUCGACGGUUCCUCAGAAGCCAGGUGUCAAGAGCCCACCAUCCUGCAGGACCACUGAGGCCUCACAGCUUUUCUCCCUUGUCAUCAAUCCACAGUGGACAUCUCUGAGCACAAGCUUCUUCUCCCAGUCUCUCUGCUAAUUAUACAUCAUCAGACAUCAUCAGGCACAGACUGACCCUGAAGCUCUGGGUGAUAAUAGGAUUAGAGUCAAAGGCUUCUAGCAAUACUCUGAGGGCAGCCGGUGGAAGAGGAGACUCUGGUAAGCAGAGGGCCUGAAUUUCCAGCUGUGCUCACUGACUGUGCGACCUGGGUGUAUUGCAUCUCCCUCUCUGAGCCUUUGGGUGUUUAUCAGUCUGUUUCUACCACCUCUGGGUCGGCUUCCCUGCCUCCACUACAUCUCCCAUCUCGAACAGGCAGCGGAACACAUGUGCGGCACUGAUAUUUGCUACAGACCGAGCUGGCGAAGUGACCUUUCGAGAGGGAGGAUUCCGCCACCUCAUUAUGCGGCCUCCAACCUUUGCUCAGGCUCCCAGCAUCCUGUUUACUCUCCUGUCUUCUCAUGAAUUUCUGCUUCUGCUUAGGAUAAGAAAAACGCCCGAGAUGGAAAGUGAGAAAGGAAAAAAAAAAAGGUCCGACAACUUAUAAAAAACCAAAUCUUUCCUGAGCCUACCAGAGAUCUGGCAUGAUUAGAUAGUCAUAGGAGGAGAGACUGGGUCUUCAGGCUCCAUGACGUACUCUUUUAAGAUAUCUUAUUACAUUUUGUUUAUUUAUGUAUUUGUUUUGUGUGGGAGGUGUGGCCUAAACACAUUCUGGGACACACUGGAGAUCAGGGGACAACUUUAGGAGUCCCCUCUUUUCUUCCUUUAUGCAUACUUGCUGUCCUGCUGAUUAUAGGCUCAGGGUACACUGGAGGAAUACUCACCAUUCGGCACCCCUGGUGCCCUGGGCACAAACAGGGGUUCACAUUUCCUCUUAGGGUAUACAAGAGAAAAGCAGGAGGCUGCCACUGUGCUGGACAUGAGGCAUUAAAGGUCUUUGGAAACAAAGGCUAUAUGUCAUUAGGUUCAGAGGUGUUGUGCUGGCCCAUCUGAUGUCAACUUGACACACAGUCUAGAAAGGUGGGAACCUCAAUUGAGAAAAUGCCUCCAUAAGAUUCCGCUGUAAGGCAUUUCCUUAAUUAGUGAUUGAUGUUGGAGAGCCUAGCCCAUUGUGGGCGUGGCCAUCCCUGGGCUGGUGGCCCUGGGUUCUAUAAGAAAGCAGGCUGAGCAAGCCAUGAGGAGCAAGUCACUGAGCAGUACCCUUCCCUAGUCUCUGUACCAGGUUCCUGCCCUGUUUGGGUUCCUGCCCUAUUUCUGUGAGCAGACACCAUGACCAAGGCAUCUUAAAAAGAGAACCUUUAAUUGGGGCUGGCUUACAGGUUCAGAGGUUUAGUCCAUUAUCAUUACAUCAGGAAGCAUGGUGACAUGAGGACGUGGUGCUAGAACAGCAGGCAGCAGAAAGAGAGAGUGACACUGGGCCUGGCUUGAGCAUCUGAAACCCCAAAGCCCACCUCCAGUGACACACUUCCUCCAACAAGGCCACUCCUCCUAAUAGUGCCGCUCCCCAUGAGCCUAUGAGGACCAUUUUCAUUCAAAGCAUCGAAUGUCCUGAUUCCCUUUGACAAUGACCAGCAAUAAGGAAAUGUAAACCAAAUAACCCUUUCCUCCCCAACUUGCUUUUUGGUCAUGGUGCUUCUUUGAAGCAAUAGAAACUCCAGGACAAGUGGAGACAGGGGCUCACCUGCCACCCAAGCAAGGUUCUGCCUCUGUCUCUGGACCUAAGUGCCAGUCUGUCAGGGACACUGUGGGAAACCCUCUGCCUGUUUCUGGUGGAGGUGCUGUUCAUACAAAGAUCUGGGAUGUAUCCUCACCCUGGCCUCUCAUAAGAGGGUCUUAAGGGUCACACUGUCUGCUCCCAGAUGCAAGGAUAUAAGUCCAGUUCAUGAAGUUCCCUCAAAGACCAUCGACAGGCAUGGAGGAGGUUGCACGUGAGACCAGGGAAGGUGGGAACCUCAAUUGAGAAACCUCUGGCCUCAGAGGUCAGAGGAGGGGAUGCCCAGUGGCUGUGGUCUGCACCAGAAAAGCACACAUCAGGCAGGAAAGAACCUUAUAUGGGUGGGGCCAUCUCACGGCACAGCACCCAGAUAGGUGAGUCAAGAGAGGACCCAGGAUGGGCAGGUGGUGACGAUCUCUGUCCCCAGACACUCCUUAAUCAGAAGUGAGAACCCAGGGCUCCAUUCCCAGCAGACCACAGUAUUUCAGGCCUUUGCACUCUUGCCCCUCCAAGCACAGCCCUUUAACACACUGUACCCAUCUUCCAGUGCUCACUGGUUCUGUUUCCUCCACUGCUGAGCUCUACCUUGGCAGGGGCAGAAGAUAUCCACCGGUCAUGGGUAGAAAGGCUUAUUUCACCUUUGGGGCGUGAUGAGGAGUGAAUGUGUCUCAGGGGUUCUUGCUGCUUUAUCUGCAUGGGAGAGGGAAGGUUGGGUAGAUUUCCCUGGGAUAGGAACCUGAAUAAAGAAAGAAGCUACCUGGAGCAGACAGAGCCCUGAGCCACAUCAGCAGGAGUGAGGCUAUGGCUUUGGCUUCUCUGAGACUCUCUGGGCUGUGCUGAAGCCCCUACUCUGCAACUUGCUCUUGUUGGAGGCUGUAGAGAAGCUGGACCAAGCCACUGGGAGCCCUGGGAAGGACUGAGCCAGGGAGGGAUUCUAUAUAUCUACAGCUAGGUCCAGAACCUUCCAAUCUGAAACUUGGAGUUACAUGAUAGGCCUGGAGAUGGUCUGGUCUCCAGAGGAAGAUGGCUGCCUUCUCCUGUAGCCCUCCUGUUCUUCCCAGGCUCCUCGUCCUCUCCUCUUACUUAAAACUCACAAUCUGUUUUGUAUGUAUAUAUACAUGUGCCUCUGUGUGUGUAUACCUUGUUUACAUGUAUAUGUGUACAUGCAUUUGUGUGGAUAUAUACAUGUGUUUAUAUAUAUCUGUGUGUAUGUGUAUAUGUAUGUAUGCAUUUGUGUGUCUAUAUACAUGUGGGUAUAUACACGUGUGAAUGUGUAUGUACAUAGGUGUUUUUAAAUACCUGUAUGUAUAUGUGUGUAUACGUAUAUAUGUAUGCAUGCAUGUGUGUGUGUGUGUGUGUGUGUGGUGCCAGGAUACAAUAUAUAAGCGCCUGUGGAAACCUUGGUGUCUUUCUCAGUCACUAUACAGGCUAGUUUUGUGUGUCAACUUGACACAAGCUGGAGUUGUCACAGAAAAGGAGCCUCAGUUGUGGAAAUGCCUUCAUGAGACCCAGCUGUAAGGCAUUUUCUCAACUAGUGAUCAAGGGGGGAGGGCCCAGCCCAUUGUGGGUGGUGCCGUCCCUGGGCUGGUGGUCUUGGGUUUUAUAAGAGAGCAAGCUGAGCAAGCCAGGGGAAGCCAGCCAGUCAGUAACAUCCCUCCAUGGCCUCUGCAUCAGCUCCUGCUUCCUGACCUGCUUGAGUUCCAGUCCUGACUUCCUUUGGUGAUGAACAGCAAUGUGGAAGUGUAAGCUGAAUAAACCCUUUCCUCCCCAACUUGCUUCUUGGUCAUGAUGUUUGUGCAGGAAUAGAAACCCUGACUAAGACAGUCACUCUGUACUUUUUUUUUAUUCACUUUACAUCCUGCUCAUUGCCCCCUCCCAGUAACCCCUCCCACAACCUUGCACUUUUUCCCCUUCUCCCCUUCUUCUCUGAGUGGGUGGGGGGUCCCCUGGCUAUCCCCCCAACCCUGGCACAUCAAGUCUCUGUGAGGCUAGGUGCAUCCUCUCCCAUUGAGGCCAGACAAGGCAACCCAGCUAGAAGAACAUACCCCAUUUUGGGAUAAACCUGGCUCCAGUUAAUCAGAUCCCUCAUGGAGACCAAACUGCACAUCUGCUACAUAUGUGGGGAAGCCUAGGUCCAGCCCAUGUAUGUUCUUUGGUUGGUGGUUCAGACUCUGAGAGACCCAAGGAUCCAGGUUAGUUAACUCUGUCUGUCUUCCUGUGGGGUUCUUAUCCCCUUCGGGGUUCCACAAUCUUUCCUCUUACUCCUCCAAUAAGAGUCCCCAAGCUCUGUUCACUGUUUGACUGUGGGUGUCUGCAUCUGUCUGAGUAAGCUGAUGGAUGAAGCCUCUCAGAGAACAGCCAUGCUCCUGUCUGCAAGCACAACAGUGUGUAAGGGAGCUUGCCCACUGGAUGGGUCUCUGGUUAGCUGUUCCCUCAGUCUCUGCUCCAUCUCCCGUGCCUGUAUUUCUUGUAGACUCUGUACUUCAUACUUUGAUUCAGGACCUCUCACUGGCCUGGAGCCCACAGAUCCAGCUAAAUCAUCCAGCCCCAUGAUCAGCCUGUCUCCGUGUUCAGAGCUGGGAUGAUAAGCAUGUGCCUCUAUAUUCAAGUUACGCUUGGCUUCUGUGGGCAGAACUCAGGUCCUCCUUCUUGAGAGCAUGUGCUUUCCUGAUUGGACCUCCACCAUCCCAAACAUGGCCUUUUGCUUCUGCAUCAGGGAACUGAACUCCAGUCUCCCACAUGACAAGCAAGGAUGCUCACCCUGUACUAUGAAGAAAAUCUCCACAGUUUCAUACUAUGUUCAACUCCACAUGCAUGGCAAACUCUGAAUGGAGCCUACACCAGCACUCCAGCUGGUUCUUUGAUGCUCAAAAUCAUCCACACCACUUGGAUACAUACUCGGGGGACCUGGUUGCCGGAUUGUAUGGUAAGACUAUGAUUAACUCCGUGAGAAACCGUCAACUCGCCCUCAAAGUGGCUGUACCAUGUCACACUCAGAGCAGCUGAGAACAGGACUCUGAGAAAGUUAAAGAAGGAAACAAAUUAUUGAUCUAGAUAAAUGGAGACAUCUAGAUGCCCUGCUUCCUGAGUCUCUGACUCCAGCAGCCAGCAGCCGGAUGCAAGCCCUCUGACUAACAUGGGGAUCCUGGUCCUGAGUUGUGCCUUUCUGUCCUGGAGGCUGGGCUCUUUGGGGGUCACAGCUCCCCCUGCAGGCCCUCCUUCUUGCCACCCCCACCUGUUGCUUCCACCUGGGGUGAGGGCAGAGGGGGCCCGCUCAGUUCCAACUGCUCCUCCUUCCCUGUUUCUUGUUCCCUGUAACAAACAGUUUCACUUUAAAAGCCAUCUGGGAGGA